rnacentral:rRNA from 1 species
CCUACGGGAGGCAGCAGUGAGGAAUAUUGGGCAAUGGACGAGAGUCUGAACCAGCCAAGUAGCGUGAAGGAUGACUGCCCUAUGGGGUGGAAACUUCGUGUAUAGGGGAAUAAAACGUUACACGUGUGGGAUUUUGUAUGUACCAUAUGAAUAAGGAUCGGCUAACUCCGUGCCAGCAGCCGCGGUAAUACGGAGGAUCCGAGCGUUCUCCGGAGUUAUUGGGUUUAAAGGGAGCGUAGGUGGAUUGUUAAGUCAGUUGUGAAAGUUUGCGGCUCAACCGUAAAAUUGCAGUUGAAACUGGCAGUCUUGAUUACAGUCGCGUUGGGCGGACUUCGUGGUGUAGCGG